GACGAACGCUGGCGGCGUGCUUAACACAUGCAAGUCGAACGGUGAAGGGGCCUGCUUUUGUGGGCCCUGGAUGGGUGGCGAACGGGUGAGUAACACGUGAGUAACCUGCCCCCUUCUUCUGGAUAACCGCAUGAAAGUGUGGCUAAUACGGGAUAUUCUGGGUCUGUCGCAUGAUGGGUCUGGGAAAGAUUGCGCCUUUGGGUGUUUUUGGUGGGGGAUGGGCUCGCGGCCUAUCAGCUUGUUGGUGGGGUGAUGGCCUACCAAGGCGGUGACGGGUAGCCGGCCUGAGAGGGUGGACGGUCACACUGGGACUGAGACACGGCCCAGACUCCUACGGGAGGCAGCAGUGGGGAAUAUUGCACAAUGGGCGCAAGCCUGAUGCAGCGACGCCGCGUGAGGGAUGGAGGCCUUCGGGUUGUAAACCUCUUUCGCCAGUGAAGCAGGCCUGCUCCUUGUGGGUGGGUUGACGGUAGCUGGAUAAGAAGCGCCGGCUAACUACGUG
rnacentral:rRNA from 1 species